GGUUUAAUGGGGUGCAGCUUAGCAGUGCUACGAUACAUUGUUUCUGUCACGGUGGACAGGAUACGAGAUACACAGAAUACCACCAAACAAGCGUCUAGGCAAGAAACUGGGGAUAAAGGUCACCUCCUGACAAAUCCCUACCAGCUCUCCCUAGACUUCUAUGCCCACGUUCAGACCCUGAAGGUGGGAAUA